AUCCAAAUCCUCGAGGCGGCCAUCAGAGCAUUACAUUGAGCUACUACUGGAGGACCCCAUAGGCUUUGUUGAAAUACAGGCAUUACUGGGGUAUCUUCUGAUAACUGGAGCAAUCUUGGUCUGUCCCUAAUUUUCAGCCCUCCCUCAUGAAGUAAUGGAAUCCACUGUACUUCACCUGAUUUCUCUAUGCUGCACCCUGAAAUUUCUAUCAAAAUUGUAAUCUUAAGGCCCAUUUCCAAGAAAGAAGAAGAAGAAAGAGCUGUACUACUUAUAUGAUGACCAGAUUAAGAUGUAGGAAAACGUUAUCCACCUAGGGACAUCUGGAAUUUCCCCUUAUCCUCAGAGCUGCUAUUCUCAGUGUGGCAAACAUGUGUCUUCAUCCUGAUAUACUGGAAUAAAAAUGGACAG